CCUACGGGUGGCAGCAGUAGGGAAUCUUUCACAAUGGGCGAAAGCCUGAUGGAGCAACGCCGCGUGCAGGAUGAAGGCCUUCGGGUUGUAAACUGCUUUUAUAAGCGAGAAAUAUGAUGGUAACUUAUGAAUAAGGAUCGGCUAACUACGUGCCAGCAGCCGCGGUCAUACGUAGGAUCCGAGCAUUAUCCGGAGUGACUGGGUGUAAAGAGUUGCGUAGGUGGAAUAAUAAGUAGCUAGUGAAAUCUGGUGGCUCAACCAUUCAGACUAUUAGCUAAACUGUUAAGCUCGAGACCGUUAGGGGUAACUGGAAUGUCUAGUGUAGGAGUGAAAUCCGUAGAUAUUAGAAGGAACACCAAUAGCGUAGGCAGGUUGCUGGGACGGUUCUGACACUAAGACACGAAAGCGUAGGGAGCAAACGGGAUUAGAUACCCCAGUAGUC
rnacentral:rRNA from 1 species